AAAAAGGCCCUUUUUAGGGCCACAAAUUUAAAAAAAGGCAAAACU
rfam:Stegodyphus mimosarum contig107540, whole genome shotgun sequence.